rnacentral:tRNA from 3 species
UCCACAGUAGCUCAGCGGUAGAGCUAUCGGCUGUUAACCGAUCGGUCGUAGGUUCGAGUCCUACCUGUGGAGCCA